rnacentral:rRNA from 1 species
GCUUGCUUUCUUUGCUGACGAGCGGCGGACGGGUGAGUAAUGCCUAGGGAUCUGCCCAGUCGAGGGGGAUAACAGUUGGAAACGACUGCUAAUACCGCAUACGCCCUACGGGGGAAAGGAGGGGACCUUCGGGCCUUUCGCGAUUGGAUGAACCUAGGUGGGAUUAGCUAGUUGGUAAGGUAAUGGCUUACCAAGGCGACGAUCCCUAGCUGUUCUGAGAGGAUGAUCAGCCACACUGGGACUGAGACACGGCCCAGACUCCUACGGGAGGCAGCAGUGGGGAAUAUUGCACAAUGGGGGAAACCCUGAUGCAGCCAUGCCGCGUGUGUGAAGAAGGCCCUAGGGUUGUAAAGCACUUUCAGUAGGGAGGAAAGGUAGUGGUUUAAUACGCCAUUACUGUGACGUUACCUACAGAAGAAGGACCGGCUAACUUCGUGCCAGCAGCCGCGGUAAUACGAGGGGUCCAAGC